AAGCUGUUCGCGGCUGGUGUGUUCACGGCAGGAAGGCAAUGGCUGGGUCUGGGCUGGCCUCCAAACAGAUGUUGGUUUGUUUCAGGGCUGUGGUUAAAUAGUUGGAUGGCAGCCCUGCACACAGGGGAGAGAAGAGGGGAUUAAAGCGGUGAGGAUUGCAGCUGCACAGACAGAAAGAGAGCAGAGGGAGGGAGACGGGCUUACAGAUAAAAAAGGGACAGACUGGAAACCAAUAAUGCGGCGCUGAUUUAAAAGGAUGCCGAUGCCGCCAGAUCUUGGGACGCGGAAGGAGGAAAGGAAAUGCUGGAGACUAGGGAGCAACUUGCUUCAGUCCUCGUUGUGGUUCAGCCUGCAGAGACACCAACUCUGUUGCCUGCCUGCUACCCCCUCCAGCAUGUCAGUGCUGAGCCCUCACUGUGGAGCAGCGGCGUUGAAAGUGCUGGAAACUGGCCUCACUCGCCCGUCGGACGCAAGACAGUUGAGAAGUGGAGGGACGACGUCCAAAGCACACAAGUGGGGCAAAUGAAAGCCAUUUGUUUUAGAAAAUAAGUCUUCAUUAUGUCAACCCAUAAUAAAGUCAUAAAACAACCAAA